UGCAAGUCGAGCGGCAGCGCGGGGGCAACCCUGGCGGCGAGCGGCGAACGGGUGAGUAACACAUCGGAACGUACCCUAUCGUGGGGGAUAGCUCGGCGAAAGCCGGAUUAAUACCGCAUACGACCUGAGGGUGAAAGCGGGGGAUCGCAAGACCUCGCGCGAUUGGAGCGGCCGAUGGCGGAUUAGCUAGUUGGUGAGGUAAAGGCUCACCAAGGCGACGAUCCGUAGCUGGUCUGAGAGGACGACCAGCCACACUGGAACUGAGACACGGUCCAGACUCCUACGGGAGGCAGCAGUGGGGAAUUUUGGACAAUGGGCGCAAGCCUGAUCCAGCCAUUCCGCGUGAGUGAAGAAGGCCUUCGGGUUGUAAAGCUCUUUCGGCAGGAACGAAACGGUGCAGGCUAAUACCCUGUAUCAAUGACGGUACCUGAAGAAGAAGCACCGGCUAACUACGUGCCAGCAGCCGCGGUAAUACGUAGGGUGCGAGCGUUAAUCGGAAUUACUGGGCGUAAAGCGUGCGCAGGCGGCUUUGUAAGACAGGUGUGAAAUCCCCGGGCUUAACCUGGGAACUGCGCUUGUGACUGCAAGGCUUGAGUGCGGCAGAGGGGGGUGGAAUUCCACGUGUAGCAGUGAAAUGCGUAGAGAUGUGGAGGAACACCGAUGGCGAAGGCAGCCCCCUGGGUCGACACUGACGCUCAUGCACGAAAGCGUGGGUAGCAAACAGGAUUAGAUACCCUGGUAG
rnacentral:rRNA from 1 species